rnacentral:rRNA from 1 species
UACGGAGGGUGCAAGCGUUGUUCGGAAUUACUGGGCGUAAAGGGCGCGUAGGCGGUGGUGUAAGUCAGAUGUGAAAUCCCGAGGCUCAACCUCGGAACUGCAUCUGAUACUGCAUGACUCGAGUGCAGCAGAGGGAAACGGAAUUCCUGGUGUAGAGGUGAAAUUCGUAGAUAUCAGGAGGAACACCGGUGGCGAAGGCGGUUUCCUGGGCUGACACUGACGCUGAGGCGCGAAAGCGUGGGUAGCAAAC